GAUGAAGAACGCAGUGAACUGCGAUAAGUAAUGUGAAUUGCAGAAUUCAGUGAAUCAUCGAGUCUUUGAACGCACAUUGCGCCCCCUGGCAUUCCGGGGGGCAUGCCUGUCCGAGCGUCAUUGCUGCCCUUCAAGCCCGGCUUGUGUGUUGGGUCGUCGUCCCCCCCGGGGGACGGGCCCGAAAGGCAGCGGCGGCACCGCGUCCGGUCCUCGAGCGUAUGGGGCUUUGUCACCCGCUCGAUUAGGGCCGGCCGGGCGCCAGCCGGCGUCUCCAACCUUUUAUUUUACCAGGUUGACCUCGGAUCAGGUAGGGAUACCCGCUGAACUUAAGCAUAUCAAUAAGCGGAGGG
rnacentral:misc_RNA from 1 species